rnacentral:rRNA from 2 species
GCCGUAGAGUGAUCUGUCAGACGACGCUGCGCGUGCCUAUACAUGCAAGUCGAGCGACAGAUGGAGCUGCUCCUGAUGUUAGCGCCGACGGGUGAGUACACGUGGGUAACCUGCCUGUAAGACUGGGAUAACUCCCGGGAAACCCGGGGCUAAUACCGGAUGCUUGUUUGAACCGCCAUGGUUCAAACAUAAAAGGUGGCUUCGGCUACCACUUACAGAUGGACCCGCGGCGCAUUAGCUAGUUGGUGAGGUAAUGGCUCACCAAGGCGACGAUGCGUAGCCGACCUGAGAGGGUGAUUGGCCACAAUGGGAAUGAGACACGGCCCAGACUCCUACGGGAGGCAGCCGUAGGGAAUUUUCCGCAAUGGACGAAAGUUUGACGGAGCAACGCCGCGUGAGUGAUGAAGGUUUUCGGAUUGUAAAGCUUUGUUGUUAGGGAAGAACAAGUACCGUUCGAAUAGGGCGGUACCUUGACGGUACCUAACCAGAAAGCCACGGCUAACUACGUGCCAGCAGCCGCGGUAAUACGUAGGUGGCAAGCGUUGUCCGGAAUUAUUGGGCGUAAAGGGCUCGCAGGCGGUUUCUUAAGUCUGAUGUGAAAGCCCCCGGCUCAACCGGGGAGGGUCAUUGGAAACUGGGGAACUUGAGUGCAGAAGAGGAGAGUGGAAUUCCACGUGUAGCGGUGAAAUGCGUAGAGAUGUGGAGGAACACCAGUGGCGAAGGCGACUCUCUGGUCUGUAACUGACGCUGAGGAGCGAAAGCGUGGGGAGCGAACAGGAUUAGAUACCCUGGUAGUCCACGCCGUAAACGAUGAGUGCUAAGUGUUAGGGGGUUUCCGCCCCUUAGUGCUGCAGCUAACGCAUAAGCACUCCGCAUUGGGA